rnacentral:tRNA from 3 species
GGAAGCGUGGCUGAGUGGUUUAAAGCAGCAUCCUGCUAAGAUGUUGUACCCGCAAGGGUACCGAAGGUUCGAAUCCUUCCGCUUCCG